GUAUAAGAGACAGCAGCAGCCACGGUAAUACAGAGGGUGCGAGCGUUAAUCGGAUUUACUGGGCGUAAAGCGUGCGUAGGCGGCUUUUUAAGUCGGAUGUGAAAUCCCUGAGCUUAACUUAGGAAUUGCAUUCGAUACUGGGAAGCUAGAGUAUGGGAGAGGAUGGUAGAAUUCCAGGUGUAGCGGUGAAAUGCGUAGAGAUCUGGAGGAAUACCGAUGGCGAAGGCAGCCAUCUGGCCUAAUACUGACGCUGAGGUACGAAAGCAUGGGGAGCAAACAGGAUUAGAUACCCGAGUAGUCCCUGUCUCUUAUAC
rnacentral:rRNA from 1 species